rnacentral:rRNA from 1 species
AUUGAACGCUGGCGGCAGGCAUAACACAUGCAAGUCGAACGAGCGGCGGACGGGUGAGUAAUGUCUGGGAAACUGCCUGAUGGAGGGGGAUAACUAAUGGAAAAGGUAGCUAAUACCGCAUACCAUCGGAUGUGCCAAGAUGGGAUUAGCUAGUAGGUGGGGAAAAGGCUCACCUAGGCGACGAUCCCUAGCUGGUCUGAGAGGAUGACCAGCCACACUGGAACUGAGACACGGUCCAGACUCCUACGGGAGGAAGCAGUGGGGAAUAUUGCACAAUGGGCGCAAGCCUGAUGCAGCCAGGCCGCGUGUGUGAAGAAGGCCUUCGGGUUGUAAAGUACUUUCAGCGGGGAGGCGUUACCCGCAGAAGAAGCACCGGCUAACUCCGUGCCAGCAGCCGCGGUAAUUC